GGAGAAAGUUUGUUUAGCAACUUAAAAAGGUGCGUGACUGUCAACGGAAUAGAUGGGAGGAUGACGGUAUGUAAGGUCAAGAAUGAACAGAAUGGACGGGGAGACGACAGGAUGGUGCUAUUCUCUCUGACAUAUGGCCAUGGCCAUACAAAAGUCCUCCUCAUCAUCUUUGUUCUAAUGAGUACUCAUGAAUCUGUGAUUUCAAAUAAAAGGCGUUGGGAUGUUACGAGGUUAGAUGUGAGGAGGAUGAUGGGAUUGGAUAUUGAUAUGCCACGAGGAGAGUGUAUCGGGAGAUUGCAAAUAAUAGUCCCACGUGUUGUGAUGUGACAC